AUGCAAAUAUGGGGAAAAAACCUGUUCUUCUGCACUAAGUGGGGGAAAAUAUCACAAGUUAAAACCUUUCAUUCCUAUGAUACCCCCACAGACUUCAUCCACUUUGUAUCUUUGGAUGAUAAGGGAGAUACUCAAAACAUAUCAUAGAUUCACAGUUUGAGAAGGCCGACUUGGAGAAUAAGUUUCUUGGGAAGAAUGGAACAGGAGGACUUUUUCAGAGCAAAACUACUGUGAGAAAGGCUAAUAUUCAGACAGUUAUUAUCACACCUUUAAUACCAGUUGACAAUACUUAUUAUAAAGAGGCAGAAAAAGGUAAUUUUGUAGAACAAUCCAUUCCAUCAAAUGCUUGUUCUUCUCUGGCAGUUAAGGGAGCCAUAUUGAAAAAUAUUCCAGCCCAGUCUCUGAGAAGAUCUAUUAGACUCUCUGCUCUGAAAGAUUUGGAGCAGAAAGAAAAAGACCAGGUAAAGAUGAAAGUCAAGAAAUGUGGUACUCCUGUAAUCAUCAAUGAAAUUUCAUCCUCUAAAAAAAAUGAAGUUUCUAACAACAAAAAGAAACCAGAGGAAGAAGGCAGUGUUCAGCAAGAUACUUUUGAAAAGAAUGAAUCUUCCCCAGAGAAAGCCAAGGCAGACAAACUGUGCCUUGUAUACCACCUGUAGAGCAGAAGGUUCUAGAAGAUACUGAGGAGCAAGAGAUGGAGAAGAGAAUGGAAAUGCAGCAGAAGGUGAUUGAGAUUUGGAAAAAGAAUGAAGAAUUUAAGAAACUUGCUCUUGCAGGUACAGGGCAACCUAUGAAGAAACAAGUGAGCCAGGUAACCAAAUCAGUUGACUUCUACUUCUACACAGAUGGGAAAUCAAACAAUAUCCUAAGAAUCAGGAGGAGUAUAAGGAAGUGAACUUCACAUCUGAACUUCAAAGCAUCCUUCAUCUUCUGCCCGAGUUACAAAGGGAUGUAUCAUUAUUAAGCUUUUCAACCUGUCCCAAGGAAAGGGGAAAAACAUUUGACAAAACAGCUUCUACAUAUGCGUUCCUUACACAGUAGUCAAAGCCUUUCAUAAACAAACCUCUAACAGGUAUUAUUUGAGGAGCAAGAAGGAUGAUACUAGUCUGUUACCCUCUAAAUCUUCUGUGGCCAAGAUCUCCAGAGACCUUUACAGCAAACCAAACAAUGUGCAAGGCCCAUAACCUGCAAAAGUACAAUAGACCAGGAGGCUGAAUAG